GUGAGGACCCACCUAGAAGUCACCAUCUAUGAAGCAGGAAGCAGGCCCUCAGCAGACAUGAAAUCUCCUGGUGCUUUGAUUUGGACUUCCCAGCCUCUAGAACUUGGUGCAUGUCACCUUCCUGCAAGGCAACUAGUUUGCAGAUAUGGCCAGAGGGGAAAUUACUGGACAACAAAAUGAAAAGGGGGCAUAAGUCAGCCAGCUCUCUCAAUCCUAGGAAAGGAAACUUCCCUCCUGCUUAUGAAAGAGGACGAUUGUGCCCAGUACCACUUAUCCAGUGCCAACAAUCUGAGGCCAAGAAACUUGAAAAAGUGAUAGAAGCAGGGUACCUUUUGCAUCAUCAAACACAGCUCAGGUGUCUUCUGAGAAGUCAUUUUGAUACAGUAUGAAUUCAAUAAGACAAGUCUUCCAUUGAGCAUGCUUGGGUACUGGUGAGGAAUCACCUGGGGUUGUUACCAUUGAGAACUAGCAGAACAGUAACCAUCAUUUGCUCCAAUGACACACGGUGCAUCUCUUAUGCUAUUAGAAGCAGGACAGCUGGAUAUAAGCAACCAGGUACAGCUGGAAUAGAAAAGAUAGACAGUGGAUUCUUUGGCUUCAUCCAAGUGGGCUGAGGAUUGAAGUAUUUUUCCAGUCAUGUUCUUGAACACCUACUUUCAUGGCAUGCUGACAUUUCCAGACUACUGAAGAUGUGAUGAUUAACUGAUCCUGCAUUUGAUGAAAAAAAAAGUUUGCACAUUCCAAAGGAGAUAGGUUUCAAAUGACUAUAUAGGGUACAAUUUCCACUGAAGUGAUUUCUCUUAAUCUUAAUCCUUAACCACUCUCAUUGCUACAGUACCUUCCAAAAGUAAGCAUAGUUCAUAAAGUCUUCAGACUGCCUUUUAGCACAUUAACAUACUCUUCACAAUCCCACAAUAAAAGCACCUUAAGUGCAGGGAUAUUUUUCUUUAUUUUCUUUCUUUCCUUCCCUCUCUCUUUCCUUCAUUUCUUCUUUCUUUCUUUCCUUCCUCCCUCCCUUCUCCCCACCUCCCUCUCUCUCUCUUUCUUUUCUUUCUUAUCCUCGGUGCCUAAGAAUUUGUUCUAUAGAAGUCUAUUUGAAUGAAUGCAUGGAGAUACCUAAAGUAAGUGAUUCUGAGGUACAGUGAUACUUGAUCACCUAUAUGUAAAAUUACUAUCAUAAGGAAAGUGAGGCUGGGCAUGGUGGCUCAUGCCUGUAAUCCCAGCACUUUGGGAGGCUGAGGCGG
rnacentral:lncRNA from 1 species